GAUGAACGCUGGCGGCGUGCUUAACACAUGCAAGUCGAACGGGAUCCCAGGAGCUUGCUCCUGGGUGAGAGUGGCGAACGGGUGAGUAAUGCGUGACCGACCUGCCCCAUACACCGGAAUAGCUCCUGGAAACGGGUGGUAAUGCCGGAUGCUCCAGUUGACCGCAUGGUCCUCUGGGAAAGAUUCAUCGGUAUGGGAUGGGGUCGCGUCCUAUCAGCUUGAUGGCGGGGUAACGGCCCACCAUGGCUUCGACGGGUAGCCGGCCUGAGAGGGCGACCGGCCACAUUGGGACUGAGAUACGGCCCAGACUCCUACGGGAGGCAGCAGUGGGGAAUAUUGCACAAUGGGCGCAAGCCUGAUGCAGCGACGCCGCGUGCGGGAUGACGGCCUUCGGGUUGUAAACCGCUUUUGACUGGGAGCAAGCCCUUCGGGGUGAGUGUACCUUUCGAAUAAGC
rnacentral:rRNA from 1 species